AUUGAACGCUGGCGGCAGGCCUAACACAUGCAAGUCGAACGAGCGGCGGACGGGUGAGUAAUGUCUGGGAAACUGCCCGAUGGAGGGGGAUAACUACUGGAAACGGUAGCUAAUACCGCAUACCAUCAGAUGUGCCCAGCUGGGAUUAGCUAGUAGGUGGGGUAACGGCUCACCUAGGCGACGAUCCCUCGCGGGUCUGAGAGGAGGACCAGCCAAACGGGAACGGAGACACGGUCCAGACUCCUACGGGAGGCAGCAGUGGGGAAUAUUGCACAAUGGGCGCAAGCCUGAUGCAGCCAUGCCGCGUGUAUGAAGAAGGCCUUCGGGUUGUAAAGUACUUUCAGCGAGGAGGCGUUACUCGCAGAAGAAGCACCGGCUAACUCCGUGCCAGCAGCCGCGGUAAUAC
rnacentral:rRNA from 1 species